CGGAGAGUCCCGGGUCAGCUCACCCCGCCAUUUUGCGCCGCCUCUCAGUUACCUAGAUUAUUUUAACCAUCUGCUUCCUCAUGAGUCUACCUGCCUCCAGUUGUAGUAAGAAGUAAAGCUAUUUGGCCAUGAUGUCAAAUUUAUGAUUUACCUCCUGGUGGGGCUACCACUGGACCCACUGGUCCCCGUCUGCAGGGAAAAGGCAAGGGAAACACGGACCACUUAGUAGCCCGUGUAGAACUCCAUUCAGAUGAGCUGGACUGGGGCAGUCCCAUCUGGGUCCAAGGCUAAGGGUACUCUCUCAGCCUUGGCUUCAAUUAGAAUCAUCUGGGGAAAUUUUUUAAAAUUCUGAUGUCUGGGUCCACCCCCUGAGCUUCUGGUUUAAUUAGACUGGGAGAAGGCCCACACGUUUAUUCUUUCUUCUGAAAUGAGCUUUCACUUAAGUAUAAAAGUAUUUUGUCCAAAAAAAGUUACAAGUCCAUCAUUCGUACAUUUUUACUUAUUACUACAGAUUUCCAUUACAAUUUUAAUUGUUGCAAAAUGUUCCGUGAACUGCACGUAUUUAACCAUUCACCUACCACUUAGUUUGUUUCCAAUUUUUAGCUAUUAUAAGAGGAAACAUAAUGAGAGCAAUCUUCACAUAAAUUUUCCUUAUGUGAAGUGUUUUGUAUUUCGUUAAGAGAAAUUCCCAGGAGUUUUAUCACCAGACAAAAUAGUAUGAAAAUAGGGGCUGGCCCUGUGGCGUAGUGGUUAAGUUAACGCGCUCUGCUUCAGCAGCCCGGGGUUUGCAGGCCCAGAUCCCAGGCACGCACCUAGCACCGCUUGUCAAGCCAUGCUGUGGCAGCAUCCCACAUAAAAUACUGUGAAAAUAGAUUAGACUCUUGAUAUUGUCCAACUGCUUUUCAAAAGGCUGUUAACCAAUUUACAAUCAUUCCAGAAUCGAUGAAAAUUUCUGUUUUACCUGGCAUCAGUUAUUUCCUAACAAAACAUUUAUUCUGCAUUUCAAGGUAUAAGUCUAUAUUUGAGGUCUGUAUUUUUUAAGAGCUCCCUAAGCAAUCCUAAGGUAGAGUCUGGCUGGAGAACAGCAGUAGGCUAGACUAAACAUUGGCCGAGUGCUGUGGUCCCUUUUCCUCAGCCUCUGGAGAUCUUGUGCUCUGAUAGCAAAGACCCAGGAAAAGAACCCCAAAGAAAUGGGCACCAAGGGAAAGAGGAGGUUUAUUCCUAAGGCCUAGGGCCAAAGUGGCCUGAGCCGUCCUUCCUGGGCCUUCCUAGGGAGGGGCUUUCUCCUCCAGGUGCCUAAUGUUGGAAGUGACUCAAAGAGAACCAAGAGCACAUGCCCCCAAAGAGGGAAAACAAGACAAAAAGGGCCUGUAAUGCAUAAUCAGGAGCCUGGAGCCUCUCCCUCAACUCUCGGAGGGUCUGCUUCCCAGUCUUCAUGCUGACUCACAGAAGCCUCUGGCUGUGCUGACCACUCCCCAUGAAAUGUGCCUCCUCCAUACCCCAUCCCCAUAGCCUUGGUUUUUUAAAUUGCUUUUUAAAUUACAAAAGAACUAUGGGUACAUCGUAAACAAAUAAUACAGAAAUAAAUAUGGCAAAAUUGGAAAGUUCCCCUCACUUCCCUACUUCCACUCCCUUUCCCAGAGGUAAGCUGGUAAUAGUUUUGUGUGUAUCUCCCUUGAUCUUUUUCUGUCCAUUUACCAAUGCUAGCGUGUCUGAGACUGUAUGUGCAUGCCUAUAGGAUUUUUUAAAUACGUAAAUGGAAUCAGGCUAUGUAUGGUUUUCUCCAAUUUGCCUUUAUUAUUUUACAGCAUAGACCACUUUCUGUGUUAAUUAAUACAGAGCUGCCUCACUCUUUCUCAUGGCUGCACAAUAACCCACGAUACAUUAAAAUAUCAUAUAAUUUAACACUUUCUGUUGCUGGAUGCUUUGGUUGCUUCUUGUUUUUCUCUAUAACAGUGCUGCAGUCAACCCCUUAGUGUGUCUUUGUGCCACCUCCCCGGCUUCCAGUAUUGCCACUGCCAGAAAACUGCUGGUGUUGGGCUCCAACUGUGCACAGCCCAGGCAAUCUCUGCUACCUCCAAGACUCAUGUGGACCUUUGAAGAACGCCACCCUGGCUCCGUCCUGGCCUCUGCUCCUGCCUUCUUGCUGGGCUGUGGAGGUCACAGCAUAUACACCUUACGGCCAGCCACCAGAGUUCUGACAACACUGCCAUGUCGUGGAAAGAUACAAAAAGUCCAGCUGGCGACCCUCUGACUCUUGGGAGGAAAGAAAGAGGGCCAGCUUCUCCAACUGCAAUCCAGUGGGAGAAAGUGUGCGAGUGGGUACCUAUCAAAGUGGUUUUCAAGAUUCUCAUUUUUUUGCCCCUGGAAUGGGGUGUGGGACUGAAACACCAGUGAAUCCCUGUCGUAGAAGAUACAAGGAGCUGAAGUGCUAGCAGAAGUUCUCCAAAGCAGCAGAUAGAAGAAAGGGAAUAUGAGGUGGGGUGUGUGUGUGCAUGUGUUUAGCUUAGCCCUGGAGCAAACGUCCUUGGCCCGUGGAUGGAGAUAGCCAAGCCUUGAUUUAACCCUUGAUGUUGUCGUACUUUUGUCCUUUAAGGUUUUCAAGCACUCUGGGACUGGCUCUGUGGCCGAGUGGUUAAGUUCGUGUGCUCCGCUUCAGCGGCCCAGGGUUCGGAUCCUGGGCGCGGACAUGGCACCACUCAUUAGGCCAUGUUGAGGCAGCAUCCCACAUGCCACAAAUAGAAGGAUCCACAACUAAAAAAUGUGCAACUAUGUACCGGGAGGAUUUGGGGAGAAAAAAGCAGGAGAAAAAAAAAAAAUAAGAUUUUCAAGCACUGUGGUCCUGGAAGAAGCAGCAAGGGCUAAUGAGGAGCAGGCUGUACUCUGGGAAACAGGAAAUCUGGUUCCAUUAUGACUUCACCAGGGCCAGCCAUGGAAUUCUGAGCAGCUCGUUUGCUGCCCAGUGCUUUGGGUCUCCCUUGGCUACAGAUGCCAUCUGCGCCUUUAAGAUGUGAGGUUGUUUCCUGCAAAAUAGUGCUAGUGUCAUUGGCUGUUAAAAAUGGGACAGGCGGGGGAGCUUUGUCAUUUGGAUGACAUGUUUGCUGGGUUUGGCUUAUCCUGCUUGGGCGUUUUCUUCGUCCUUACUUUCUGGACACACAGAGAGAACAUAUGUUUGCAGUAUUGGAGGCAGGGGAUGAACUUCCUGUGUGGCAGCCCUACUGAAGUGUAUUCUUGCACGCACAAAUGCAAAGGCAGAUGCUGACCUGCUCUCUCAACCCUUCAGAACCCCUUUGGGGAAUGCUGGUGUGGUCACCGUCAGAGCAGAGCAACAAACAAAUCUGCUUUCCUCGGGGAUGAGCUCCAUUUGGACAGUACGAAACUUUGCUCAUUGAAAGCAAUUUAUUUAAACAAAUCAGGGUUUUUAAACUUUUUUAUUGAAGUGUAACAUACAUACAGAAAAGUGCAUGCAUCAUGAACAUACUGCUCGGUGAAUCUGUGCAAAGUCAACACACCUGUGUCCCCCAGCUAACCGAGUCAGGAAGUAGAACAUUAGUGGCAUCCCAGAAGACCCGAUGUAUCUCCUCUCCCAGUUACUAGACCUUUGUGGUAUAACCACUACCUUGACUUUCAGUACUUUAUACUAAUUUUGCCUGUUUUUGAACUUCAUAUAUAUUCGUGACAUUUAUCCACAGUUUGCACAGAUCUUAUUCAUUUACUCUCAUUACUAUAUAGUAUUCCAUGAUAGAAAUAUACCACAGUUUGCUUCAUCUGUGUUGAUGGGAUUUGGGGCUGUUUGCCAUUUUUGGCUAUUUCAAAUUCUACUUCUAGGAAGUUUUGCACAUGCCUCUCGGUACUCGUGUGCACGCAUUUCUGGUGCACAUUCUUACAAGUGGAGCUGCUGGGUCACAGUGUUUGCACACAUUCAGCUUUAAUGGACUUGCGAAACAGCAGUGAAUGAUAGGAAUGCUUUUUUUUUUUUGAGGAAGCCUGGCCCUGAGUAACAACCGAGCCCAUCUUCCUCUACUUUAUAUGUGGGACACCUGCCACAGCAUGGCUUGACAAGCGGUGCCGUGUCCACACCUGGGAUCCGAACCAGCGAACCCUGGGCCGCCGAAGCAGAACGUGCGAACUUAACCACUGCGCCAAGGGGCCGGCCCCAGGCAUGCAUUUUUGAUAGAGGAGGAGCACAGAGCUAAGAUCGGGCCCUAGGCUUCUGGUCCCUUCCCAGGCUUGGAUUAGGGAGGAACCAGAGCAAACCACUUACUCUCUGUGCCUCCUCAACUAUAAACUAGAAAUAAUUAGUACCUGCUCUAUUACUUGCUGUGGGACGGACAGCCCUCUGCCAAGACUCACGCUGCACAAAUGCAAGCUGUCAUUAAAAUGGAAGCAGAGGAGGCAGCUUUUUAAUUAUUAAUGAGAACUAAAGAAUAACUAUACUUAUGUGAAUUUCCAUUUCCAAUUAAGAAUCUAGAGAUCAGAUUAACUGCUCUGCUAGACAGAAUUGUAUCGCCAAAGGGACCUGUAGUAUUAUUCUCUUAAACUCAGACAUAGUGAGUAACCUCCCCAGCCUGUCCUUCAGUCUCACCAGAAGAUUCCUUAACUGCCUGGAGCACCAGGGGGCCUCCCAAUUCUAUCUUUCAAUCACCAAAUGCCCCAGCUUCCUCCUUUCCCUUGCAUCAGCCUGAGUUGACCUGAUCUGGAAAGACUGUUUGGUUCAGCUCUGUCUGACUGGACCAGGAAAGCCAAAGGACACCGUCAUUCCAUGUGUUCUUGCAUCGCUGAAUGCAAAGUUUGAGUACUGUGAAUGAGGCCAAUUUGAUCUCACUGUGAAACCAAAAGUUCACAAACAUUUAUUUUAUGAAAGGUUGUGCUAAGCUAAACCAAGGGCUGUAAAAAAUGAUAAUUGAAAGUGGUGUCAAAAUCUCUUGCAGCCUAUUGGUUCCCGUGCAGGUAAUACCACAAGUAGGAGGCAGUGCCCUCUUCUGGCCAAAGCCACACUUGCAUGGCUGUGGCUAGGGGACUGCCAGCUCGUGGGCACUGGUUUUCCACUUGGGAGCAGGCUCCCUGUCGGGUUGUCUUGAGUGAAUCAUGUUUGGGAUCCACAGUCCCUUUCUUCUUCAAAAGAGAAAAGCCAAAACGGAUGGUUAAUUUAUGUGCAAUUAACAAUGAAAUCAGUAGACGUUUUUACCUUCCAUAACGUGGUUGGGCCUUAUCCUUAGGAGCAAGAACUGAGGUUUCCUGAAGAAAAAACUCUGCUUCAAGCCUGCAGUAAGAAGCUCUGCCUGAGUUUCCAUCCUGCAGACUUCAAAUUCCAGACUGCAACGUCUGCUCUUCCCUGAGUUUCUAUCCAGCCAGCCUGCUUUACGAAUUCAAACUUGUCAGUCCCCACAGUCGUUUGAGGCAAUUCCUUAAAACAAGUCUGUGUGCGCGCGUCUGAGUAUAUAUCUCCUAUUGGCUCCGUUUCCCUGGAGAACCCUGACUAAUACAAAACGCAGCUCCAAACCCCAUUCUAUAUCGGGGACAUCUCACCUGAAUGAACAUAGAGGGACAUGAAGUAUAGCAGCCGACCUUCUGAGUUCAGGAUUAAGUCCAGUCCCGGCUCACUUACUAGCUACUUAGUCAUACUUAGCCUUGGUUUCUUCACUUGCACAAAGGAGAAAAUAGUAAUAUUUACUGAACAGGCUGUUGGGAAGAUUAAAUAAGAGAAAACGUGCUUAGAAUGGUGUCUGGCUCAGAGCAAGUACUUGAUAAAAUGCUAAUGGUUAUUAUUAUGAUUAUUACUAAGGGUAUUGAGGAAAGUUGUCGAGGAAGAGUGAGUUACAGUGUUGGGUACAUGGAAGGUAGCUCUCCCCGGCCACUUCCUGCCCCUUGUCUCCCCAAAUCUCUCAUGUGCAGGCGAUCUCUGCCUAUCACCACUUGUUCCUGGGGGACAUUAUAGAGCCAUUUCUCGUAAAAUGUCCUGUUUCUUCCUGUAGGAACCCAAUCAAGAUUAAAAGUUGGAUUCCAAAUUAAGGACUAAGUCAGAGAUGAAACCGUUCUUGUUUUUAUAUUUGUGUGUGUUUCAUUCAGUGAUUCAACAGAAGGGCCCACAAGACUCCACAGCAGGUUACAGACUCACUGAGACGUAUAAAGCAAAGGAUACAGAGCGACAGCAGCAGGAAAAAGACGUGCAUGAAUGGAGCCCAGAGAGGUUCAACACAGACUUCCAAUAUCCUUCGUGGUUCAAGGCCACACAGGAGAACUCCCUCUCACCAUUAACUGUGGGGACAUGUGUGGAAUGCCUUUGCCCAUGGAAGCCUGUUUGAGUCUCAGAGUCCAAGGCUUUUAUGGAGAUCUGGCCACACGGGUAUAUUCUGCCAUGCAACCAGCCACGACAACCAAAACUCACGACCCUCACCAUGAAACCAGGUGCACAUCACUGAUCUUGACGUUUGUACAAAGCAACCUGACAAGCAGUGAUUUAACGAUGCUGCUUCGUAAUCUCAGUACAUUUCCCUGUAGUCAGCAGAGCUGCCGAGAGACGUCAAGUCACCCUACUAGACACUUCAUGGAUGCCCAUCAGAACCUUCAUACUCUUUGGGAAAACCAUAAAAAUAGGCCAGGACAGAGCAUAUGAGACCUAGGAGGAACCACACCACCACCAGUCAACUUCCCCAUCUUAGAGACAAGCAAGUGGGAACACUGAGCAGUGAAAUGACUCACCCAAGGUUCUAAGUCUAAGGUCUUUGAAUUAAAAACCUCUCUUGGAGGGGCUGGCCCCGUGGCCGAGUGGUUAAGUUGGCGCGCUCCGCUGCAGGGGGCCCAGUGUUUCGUUGGUUCGAAUCCUGGGUGCGGACAUGGCACUGCUCAUCAAACCACGCUGAGGCAGUGUCCCACAUGCCACAACUAGAAGGACCCACAACGAAGGAUAUACAACUAUGUACUGGGGGACUUUGGGGAGAAAAAGGAGAAAACUAAAAUCUUUAAAAAAAAAAAAAAACCUCUCUUGGAACUCCUGAAAUGGGUCAAGGCAAUGUCUGCUCAGAUGCUUCUGAUUGUCUUUAACAUGGGCAGAAACUGGAGGAGUCCUGACUGUUGGAGCUGCCUGAACCAAGUGUGCAUGGGCCAAUCUCUUUCAGUCUGGCUAGGCUUCCCAUCCUUCCUUCUCUCGUCCCUUCUCCAGUGGCCUGACAGAAGCACCAGGAUUCUGUCUAGAGCAUUGCCCAUGCUAUUGGGUCAAUGGUCCAGUUUGGAACCUAGCAAGAGAUUGAUUUCAUCUUCACUAAAAUUUUUCUUCUCUUCCCUUCAUUUACUCUCUUGUCUGUUGGGGGGUGGUGUCUGUCUCUCCACUGGACUGUAAAUUCCGUGAAGGCUUCCUGGAAGCAGGUUAUACAGUGUUAUGGUUUUGGGUAGUGAAGUCAAUGGUCCGGGGUCUGAAUUCUGGUUUAGCAUCUCACUGGCUUGUGUGAUUUGAGUGAGUUACUUAGUGGAAAUACCAAUAGUUCCUCCCUCACAAGGUUACUGGGAGGACAAAAGGAAGUAAUAACACUUAAGUAGCAUAGAGUUUGGCAUACAAGAAAUGUUCAGUAAAUAUUAGCUAUUAUUUUUUAAAUAGGUACUCCAUUUAUUUUGGAAAAUUCUACUCUCUGCUCUUUUUAACAGUUUUAUUGAGGUAAUGGACAUAUAAUAUACACUGUACAUGUUUAAAGUAUACAGUGUCAUAAGUUUUGGGUUUUUUUCUCCUCUUUCUUUUAAGUGUGCUUUUUGGUGAGGAAGAUUGGCCCUGCGCUAACAUCUGUUGCCAAUCUUCCUCCUUUUUUUUUUCUCUCCAUUACAUAGUGGUAUAUCCCAGUUGUAGGUCAUUCUAGUUCUUCUAUGCGGGACACCGCCACAGCAUGGUUUGAUGAGCAGUGCAUAGAUCUGCUCCCAGGAUCCGAACCGGCAAACCUUGGGCCUCCAAAGAGGAGCACAUGAAUUGCAAACUUAACCACUUGGCCAUGGGGCUGGCCCAAACAGUGUCAUAAGUUUUGAUGUGUACACAUCUGUGAAACCAUCACCACAAUCUAGUUAAUGAACAUAUCCAUAACCCUCAAGAGUUUAUAUCCUUUUGUAAUCCCUUUCCCUGUCUACAGGAAACCAGUGUUUACUCUGUGUCUCUAUAUGUUAGCUUGCAUUUUCCAGAAUAUUAUAUAAAUGGAAUCAUAUAGUAGCCACUCUUUUUCGGCAUCUUUCACCCAGCAUUAUUCUGAGAUUCAUCCAUGUUGCUGAGUGUAUCAAUUGCUGAGUAGAUACACAGCAAUUUGUUUAUUCAUUCACCUACUGAUGGACAUUUGGGUUGUUUCCAGUUUUGAGGUAUUAGAAAUAAAAUUUGUAUUAACAUUUGUGUACAACUCUUUGUAUGGAAAUAUGCUUACAUUUCUCCUGGGAGUAGAAUGGGUG
rnacentral:lncRNA from 1 species